rnacentral:rRNA from 1 species
AGAGUUUGAUCCUGGGGGAGAUUGUAUGCCGGCUGCAUGCUGUCCACAUGCAGGUCAAACCGCAGCACGGGAACUUGCUCCUGGUGGCGAUUGGCAAACGGGUGAGUAAUGCAUCGAAAUGUACCGUGUAAAGGGGAAUAGCUCGGCGAAACCCGGAUUAAUACCGCAUACGCCCUGAGGGGAAAAGCGGGGGACCAAAAGACCUCGCGUUAUACGAGCAGCCGAAGUCUGAUAAGCUAGUUGGUGAGGUAAGAGCUCACCAAGGCGACGAUCAGUAGCGGGUCUGAGAGGAUGAUCCGCCACACUGGGACUGAGACACGGCCCAGACUCCUACGGGAGGCAGCAGUGGGGAAUUUUGGACAAUGGGCGCAAGCCUGAUCCAGCCAUGCCGCGUGUCUGAAGAAGGCCUUCGGGUUGUAAAGGACUUUUGUUCGGGAGGAAAUCCCGCUGGUUAAUACCCGGCGGGGAUGACAGUACCGGAAGAAUAAGCACCGGCUAACUACGUGCCAGCAGCCGCGGUAAUACGUAGGGUGCAAGCGUUAAUCGGAAUUACUGGGCGUAAAGCGUGCGCAGGCGGUUGUGCAAGUCUGAUGUGAAAGCCCCGGGCUCAACCUGGGAACGGCAUUGGAGACUGCACGACUAGAGUGCGUCAGAGGGGGGUAGAAUUCCGCGUGUAGCAGUGAAAUGCGUAGAGAUGCGGAGGAAUACCGAUGGCGAAGGCAGCCCCCUGGGAUGACACUGACGCUCAUGCACGAAAGCGUGGGGAGCAAACAGGAUUAGAUACCCUGGUAGUCCACGCCCUAAACGAUGUCAACUAGCUGUUGGGGGUUUGAAUCCUUGGUAGCGUAGCUAACGCGUGAAGUUGACCGCCUGGGGAGUACGGCCGCAAGGUUAAAACUCAAAGGAAUUGACGGGGACCCGCACAAGCGGUGGAUGAUGUGGAUUAAUUCGAUGCAACGCGAAAAACCUUACCUGCUCUUGACAUGUACGGAACUUGCCAGAGAUGGCUUGGUGCCCGAAAGGGAGCCGUAACACAGGUGCUGCAUGGCUGUCGUCAGCUCGUGUCGUGAGAUGUUGGGUUAAGUCCCGCAACGAGCGCAACCCUUGUCAUUAGUUGCCAUCAUUCAGUUGGGCACUCUAAUGAGACUGCCGGUGACAAACCGGAGGAAGGUGGGGAUGACGUCAAGUCCUCAUGGCCCUUAUGAGCAGGGCUUCACACUUCAUACAAUGGUCGGUACAGAGGGUCGCGAAACCGCGAGGUGGAGCCAAUCUCAUAAAACCGAUCGUAGUCCGGAUCGCACUCUGCAACUCGAGUGCGUGAAGUCGGAAUCCCUAGUAAUCCCAAAUCACCAUGCUGCGGUGAAUACUUUCCCGGGUCUUGAACACACCGCCCCGCUAACCAAGGGAGUGAGUUUCACCAGAAGUGGGUAGGCUAACCGCAAGGAGGCCGCUUACCACUGUGGGAUUCAUUAUU